rnacentral:rRNA from 1 species
CCGAAGAGCAUGCUCUUCGGGGUUGUAGGACACUCUAUACGGAGUCAAAAAGGAAGACAGUAGGUGAAGGACCUGGAAAGGUCGGCCGAAGAAGGUGACAGCCCUGUAGCUGAAACUGUUUUCCCUCCAGAGUGGAUCCUGAGUACGGCGGGACACGUGAAACCCCGUCGGAAUCCGGGAGGACCAUCUCCCAAGGCUAAAUACUCCCUAGUGACCGAUAGUGAACCAGUACCGUGAGGGAAAGGUGAAAAGCACCCCGGAAGGGGAGUGAAAUAGAUCCUGAAACCGUAUGCCUACAAGUAGUCAGAGCCCGUUAAUGGGUGAUGGCGUGCCUUUUGUAGAAUGAACCGGCGAGUUACGAUAACGCGCGAGGUUAAGCCGAUGAGGCGGAGCCGUAGCGAAAGCGAGUCUGAACAGGGCGUUCAGUGCGUUGUCGUAGACCCGAAACCAGGUGAUCUACCCAUGUCCAGGAUGAAGGUCAGGUAACACUGACUGGAGGUCCGAACCCACGCACGUUGAAAAGUGCGGGGAUGAGGUGUGGGUAGCGGUGAAAUGCCAAUCGAACCUGGAGAUAGCUGGUUCUCCCCGAAAUAGCUUUAGGGCUAGCCUCGAGGUUGAGAGUUCUGGAGGUAGAGCACUGAUUGGACUAGGGGCCCCCACAGGGUUACCGAAUUCAGUUAAACUCCGAAUGCCAGCAACUUAUACUCGGGAGUCAGACUGCGAGUGAUAAGAUCCGUAGUCAAGAGGGAAACAGCCCAGACCGCCAGCUAAGGUCCCAAAGUGUAUGUUAAGUGGAAAAGGAUGUGGCGCUGCCUAGACAGCUAGGAUGUUGGCUUAGAAGCAGCCACCAUUCAAAGAGUGCGUAAUAGCUCACUAGUCGAGUGGCGCCGCGCCGAAAAUGUAACGGGGCUAAACAUACCACCGAAGCUGCGGAUUCCGUAAGGAAUGGUAGGGGAGCGUUCCAAACCGCUGUGAAGCUGUACCGGAAGGAGCAGUGGAGCGUUUGGAAGUGAGAAUGCCGGUGUGAGUAGCGAAAAGAGGGGUGAGAAUCCCCUCCGUCGAAAGCCCAAGGUUUCCUGAGGAAGGCUCGUCCGCUCAGGGUUAGUCUGGACCUAAGCCGAGGCCGAAAGGCGUAGGCGAUGGAUAACAGGUUGAUAUUCCUGUACCGCCGAUCCACCGUUUGAACAAUGGGGGGACGCAGGAGGAUAGUGACGCAUGCGGAUGGAAGUGCAUGUGCAAGUUUCAAGACCGUCUGAUUGGCAAAUCCGUCAGGCA